CACAAAAUGAUAACUGCUACCAAGGCUUUCUUUAAGAUGGUGUGUCUCCAAGAGAUUUAUCUUGAGAGCCACAGUCCUUAAUACAACAAAAUCUGUUUGUUUUGGAGAAUUUUGCGGGGCAGGAUAUGCCACUGAACACACUGCAUGAUAAGAAUUACUCCUUCUGGAAGGAGAGAGGUGAAAGAAGGAGCUGCUUGCUGUUUGACAAUAUGUACCAACUAUGAACCGGGCCCGGUACAAGACACAAAAAAUGGUUCCCAAUGCAUCGAUGAUAGAAAAAUACAUCCAUCGGCAAAGCCAAAGGAAAGUUAUACAAAUAGUCUACGUAUAAUAGGAACAGUAUGACCUUCCACUAAACAAAAGAUGUUGAGAGGAUUAAAAGAACA